CCUACGGGCGGCAGCAGUGGGGAAUAUUGCACAAUGGGCGCAAGCCUGAUGCAGCCAUGCCGCGUGUGUGAAGAAGGCCUUCGGGUUGUAAAGCACUUUCAGCGGGGAGGAAGGCGUUAAGGUUAAUAACCUUGUCGAUUGACGUUACCCGCAGAAGAAGCACCGGCUAACUCCGUGCCAGCUGCCGCGGUAAUACGGAGGGUGCAAGCGUUAAUCGGAAUUACUGGGCGUAAAGCGCACGCAGGCGGUCUGUCAAGUCGGAUGUGAAAUCCCCGGGCUCAACCUGGGAACUGCAUUCGAAACUGGCAGGCUAGAGUCUUGUAGAGGGGGGUAGAAUUCCAGGUGUAGCGGUGAAAUGCGUAGAGAUCUGGAGGAAUACCGGUGGCGAAGGCGGCCCCCUGGACAAAGACUGACGCUCAGGUGCGAAAGCGUGGGGAGCAAACAGGAUUAGAUACCCGUGUAGUC
rnacentral:rRNA from 1 species